rnacentral:rRNA from 1 species
GACGAACGCUGGCGGCGUGCCUAAUACAUGCAAGUCGAGCGAAGUUUUUCUGGUUCUUGCACUAGAAAAACUUAGCGGCGCACGGGUGAGUCACACGUAAAGAACCUGCCUCAUAGACUGGGACAACUAUUGGAAACGAUAGCUAAUACCGGAUAACAGUAUUUCUCGCAUGAGAGAUAUUUAAAACUUGGUUAUGCUAACACUAUGAGACUUCUUUGCGGUGCAUUAGCUAGUUGGUGGGGUAAAGGCCCACCAAGGCGACGAUGCAUAGCCGACCUGAGAGGGUGAUCGGCGACACGGGGACUGAGACACGGCCCAGACUCCUACGGGAGGCAGCAGUAGGGAAUCUUCCGCAAUGGGCGAAAGCCUGACGGAGCAACGCCGCGUGAGUGAAGAAGGAUUUCGGUUCGUAAAGCUCUGUUGUUAGGGAAGAAUGGAUAUGUAGUAACUAUACAUGUAAGAGACGGUACCUAACCAGAAAGCCACGGCUAACUACGUG